rnacentral:rRNA from 1 species
UACGUAGGGGGCAAGCGUUGUCCGGAUUUAUUGGGCGUAAAGAGCGUGUAGGCGGCCAGGUAGGUCAGCUGUGAAAACUCGAGGCUCAACCUCGAGACGCCGGUUGAAACCAUCUGGCUAGAGUCCGGAAGAGGAGAGUGGGAUUCCUGGUGUAGCGGUGAAAUGCGCAGAUAUCAGGAAGAACACCCGUGGCUAAGGCGGCUCUCUAGUACGGUACUGACGCUGAGACGCGAAAGCGUGGGGAGCGAACAGG